CACCAAAGAAAGGUGCCAAGCCCUGGUCACCCAGAGGGCCUCUCCCACUAGGUUCUACAGAGAAGCUCACAGAAGACAUGGGAUGUUGGUCCUACUGAAAAAGCAGGCAAGCUGGGGGAAUACAAUCAUGUCAGGAAUGCAGGCACAGACAUCAUCUUCUCUCAUCACUGUCCACGGUCCGCACACCAAGACCUAUCACUUUAGACACAAACCUUCCCAGGACCAGGACAAGAGAGAUGAACUCUAAGGAUGAAGCUGCCGCAUAACUCUGUGAUUAACACACACUGACUCUGGACGUCAGGGGAGAUUAAAGGAGGGAUCAGAUGCUUUUGAAGAGAAGGUGGCCAUCUGGAAGGUGCAGGUGCAAGGUGGUGGAGGCUGAAAGGUGGCAGAUGGCUUGGUUCUGUGAAGGCAAAUUAGGGAACACAGAAGACGACAGAUGGGCAGGUGUUGGGUCAUUGUGAAAGGGAUUUGCCCAAGUGAAACAAAGAUUUUUUUUUCUAUUUAAAUUUGGGUCAAGCACAAGGAUUUCAUCACUAUUUAUUAACUGGCUUUCAAACUUUGCCUACGAACAAAGUGGAAAUCUCUUUAUUGCAGAUUAAUUUGGGAAACAACUCAAGCAAUAAAAAGGAGAGGAGAGGCAAGGUUGACCUACCAUACCUUAUUUGCAAUUCUAAAAGGUAAAACAGUUCUGAAAAUUAAAUUAAAAAAAAACGGAUUUGAC
rnacentral:lncRNA from 10 species